ACGACCUUACUUGAACAGGAUCUGUUCUAUAGGCUCGUACCUCUGUAUCCUUAAGUUCUAAGGAGACAGGAACUGAAGUCUGGUGGAUGAUCCAUGACCCUGUGAUCAGAGCGUGAUUAACGGUAGUGUUGACUCAGUUUACGGACUGUCCUCAUCACCAACUGUAGAGGAUCGUUCCCGUUCUAGUGAAUUGGGAUGGUCGCAGGGUUGUCUGACAGACU
rfam:Vigna radiata var. radiata cultivar VC1973A scaffold_7, whole genome shotgun sequence